UACGGGGGGGGCAAGCGUUGUUCGGAAUUACUGGGCGUAAAGGGCUCGUAGGCGGCCAACUAAGUCGAACGUGAAAUCCCCGGGCUCAACCCGGGAACUGCGUCCGAUACUGGCAGGCUUGAAUCCGGGAGAGGGAUGUGGAAUUCCAGGUGUAGCGGUGAAAUGCGUAGAUAUCGGGAGGAACACCAGUGGCGAAGGCGACUACCUGGCCUGUUCUUGACGCUGAGGCGCGAAAGCUAGGGUAGCAAACGGG
rnacentral:rRNA from 1 species